UCUGAUCCACAACCGCUUCCCGUGGUCCUUUCUUCGGCCCUCCAACACCCCGGCUCCGCACACCUCCCCCUCGCUGAACGUCGCUCACCAUUCUGUUGCCAGCCUGUUCCCUUUCACCGGCUCCCAUUCGCCUUCCCGACCCGAAGGCGAUCUGGUGUCUCCGAGCUGUGCCGGGGACCGUUAUAUUUCGUCGUUCUCCGCCUCCAUAGUGUUUCUCAUCCAGAUCCCAGCAUCAGCAGUCCGUUGUUUCUCUAAUCUGGUUUCUGUUUCGCUAUGAGAAAUUCAGAGAAAUAAUGAUUUUAAAGCGGAGGGUAAAAGUGAUCGACUCCGCCGGGACUCGAACCCGGAACCUUUGAAUGUCCUCAACCCGCUAGAAGUCCAAUGCGCUAUCCAUUGCGCCACGGAGCCACCUGUUGGAUUCUCCCCGAAGCUCCACAUGGCUCCACAUCGCCAGCCAUCUUUGGACUUAGUUCCAGCGUUGUGGGAAAUUGAGUUCAAUGGAUUUAGGAACAACUUCUUCCCCUUCGCCUUCAGAUUUCUGAACGGUGCAUGAACACUGCUUGGUUAUUUUUUGCACUGUUUAUUUACUUUGUAAUUUAUAGUAAUUUAUGUCUUUGCAAUGUACUGCUGCUGCAAAACGACAAAUUUCACGACAUAUAAGUCGGUGAUAAUAAACCUGAUUCUGAUUUAGUGUCCUAAACAUCCCUGCCAACCGAGAAAGUGUGCUGCAUUUGGCCACUCCGAGUAGUAUUAUUAGCAUUAUUAUUUAUGCGGAGCAGCAUUUCAACAGUGCAAUGCGAGAACCUUGAUCCAUCUCCAAGAAGCCAAGUGCAUAAACAAACUGAAGCAGUCCAGCUGGGCAGACCAAGAGCUCAGCAGUGAACUGGCCUCUUGGCUCAAACGAAAAUGGCAGAGGAAGGGGCAGUAAGCACUGAUUGUGUCUGGUAGCUUAUGAUAUUGAAGGAGGAAAAUAUUUUCUUCGGCAAAAGUAACAUGUUACUAACUGAAAAAUGUGAUAUAAUGCUGAUAAUGAUGGAAAUCUGAAAUAAAAACAAAAUCUGAAAAGACUCAGCAGGUCAGGCAGCACCUUGGUUGGACACCAGUUGGUAUCUAUGGGAUGAAGCAGUGCACUGUUAAAGUGCAGUUCCUCCAAAUCUGGAAGGUUUUUUUUCACAUUUCCAGUCCUGAUGAAGGGCCUUCCAUUUGAAGUGGUAGCUCUGUUUUUCUCUUUCCACAGAUGCUGCCUGACCUGCUGAGUAUUUCCAGAAUUUUCUGAUAGAAGGA